UGAUUUAUUAAAGUCCUUCUUGAUGU
rnacentral:piRNA from 1 species